rnacentral:rRNA from 1 species
AACGAACGCUGGCGGCAUGCCUAACACAUGCAAGUCGAACGAUUGCCUUCGGGUGAUAGUGGCGCACGGGUGCGUAACGCGUGGGAAUCUGCCCUUAGGUUCGGAAUAACAGCUGGAAACGGCUGCUAAUACCGGAUGAUAUCGCGAGAUCAAAGAUUUAUCGCCUGAGGAUGAGCCCGCGUUGGAUUAGGUAGUUGGUGGGGUAAAGGCCUACCAAGCCGACGAUCCAUAGCUGGUCUGAGAGGAUGAUCAGCCACACUGGGACUGAGACACGGCCCAGACUCCUACGGGAGGCAGCAGUGGGGAAUAUUGGACAAUGGGCGCAAGCCUGAUCCAGCAAUGCCGUGUGAGUGAUGAAGGCCCUAGGGUUGUAAAGCUCUUUUACCCGGGAAGAUAAUGACUGCACCGGGAGAAUAAGCCCCGGCUAACUCCGUG